UACUAGAGUAGCACUCGCAUAUCAAUAAGCGGAGGAAAAGAAACUAACAAGGAUUCCCCUAGUAACGGCGAGUGAAGCGGGAAGAGCUCAAAUUUGAAAUCUUAAAGGGUUUCCCUUGACGAAUUGUAGUUUAAAGAAGUGUUUUCUGUUAGAGAGGUUCGGUAAAAGUUCUUUGGAAUAGGACAUCAUAGAGGGUGAGAAUCCCGUAUUUGACCGUUACUUUCCAGCUGUGUGAUACACUUUCAAAGAGUCGGAUUGUUUGGGAAUGCAGUCCAAGAUGGGUGGUAAAUUUCAUCUAAAGCUAAAUAUUGGCGAGAGACCGAUAGCGAACAAGUACCGUGAGGGAAGGAUGAAAAGAACUUUGAAAAGAGAGUUAAACAGUACGUGAAAUUGUCAAAAGGGAAGCGUUUGACACCAGUGUUGUUUAGUUGAAAAUCAAUUCAAUAAUUUUUGAUUUUGAGUAGUAUUGACUUCAUCAGCUUGCUGCUUUCUUUUCCGAAAUUAUUGAAUGCACUUUUCAGUUAACAAGUCAACAUCAAUUUCUUUUGUUGUAAAAAGGUAAGAGGAAGGUGGCUUGCGCUUCGGCUCAAGUGUUUAUAGCCUUUUACCCCUGCAAUCGGAGAGAUUGAGGUCUGCAGCGUAGAUCCUUCGGGGUUAGAUACAUUUGUGCUAAGCUAUAGCUUUUUAUAGACAACUUGUUGACUAUAUUUAGUCUUGUGGCUUACUCGCUUAUGCUAUUUUACCUACGCUUAGGAUGUUGAUAGUCACAGCGUGUAC
rnacentral:rRNA from 1 species